rnacentral:rRNA from 1 species
GGGGGAUAUUAGGCAAUGGGGGAAACCCUGACCUAGCAACGCCGCGUGAAGGAAGAAGGUCUUCGGAUUGUAAACUUCUUUGACGAGGGACGAUAAUGACGGUACCUCGAAAACAAGCCACGGCUAACUACGUGCCAGCAGCCGCGGUAAUACGUAGGUGGCAAGCGUUGUCCGGAUUUACUGGGUGUAAAGGGCGUGUAGGCGGAAUGGCAAGUCAGAUGUGAAAUACGGGAGCUUAACUCCCGGGCUGCAUUUGAAACUGCUGUUCUUGAGUGAUGGAGAGGUAAGCGGAAUUCCCGGUGUAGCGGUAAAAUGCGUAGAUAUCGGGAGGAACACCAGUGGCGAAGGCGGCUUACUGGACAUUAACUGACGCUGAGGCGCGAAAGUGUGGGGAGCAAAC